rnacentral:rRNA from 1 species
AGAUAAUAGAUACCCGGGUAGUCCACGCCCUAAACGAUCACGACUGGCUAUAAGGAGUAUCGACCCUCUUUGUGGCGAAAGCUAAACGCGUUAAGUCGUGCGCCUAGGUAGUACGAUCGCAAGAUUAAAACUCAAAGGAAUAGACGGGGACUUGCACAAGCGGUGGAUCAUGCGGCUCAAUUCGAUGAUAAACGAAGAACCUCACCAGGGUUUGAAACCCAGACGACACCCCAUGGAAACAUGGGCUCCGCAAGGCGGCUGGGCAGGUGAUGCAUGGUCGUCGUCAGUUCGUGGCUUGAGUUGUUCCCUUCAGUGGGUAACGAACGCAACCCGCGUUGCCUGUUUUAUAUGUCAGGCGAGACUGCCCCCUCACGGGGGAGGAAGGUGCGGAUGACGCCAGAUCAGCAUGUCCCUCUGAUAUCCUGGGCUGCACGCAUGAUACAAUGGUCAUAACAACGGGUCGCGACGGGGUAACCCUGAGCUAAUCCUCAUAAAUAUGGCCCCAGUUCGGAUUGAGGU